AUGAUCAACACGACGUCUAUUGGGUCCUCUCAUCCCCUAUUGGUUUCUAUUGGGUCCCUAUUGGCUUCUAUUGGGGUCCUCGUGUCCCUAUUGGGGUCCUCCCAACCCUAUUGGCUUCUAUUAGGUCCCUGCUGUGUCCUAUUGGGCCCCUACAUGAUCAACACGAUGUCUAUAGGGUCGUCCCAUCCCCUAUGGCUUCUAUUGGGUCCCUAUUGGCUUCUAUUGGGGUCCUCCCAUCCCUAUUGGGGUCCUCCCAACCCUAUUGGCUUCUGUUGUGCUCCUACUAUGUCUUAUUGGGCCCCAACAUGAUCAACUUGACAUCUAUAGGGUCCUCCCAUCCCCUAUGGCUUCUAUUGGGUCUCUACUGGCUUCUAUUGGGUUCCUAUUGGGGUCCUCCUAACCCUACUGGCUUCUAUAGGGACCCUAUUGGAUUCUAUUGGGUUCUCCCAUCCCUACUGACAUCUAUUGGGCCCCUACAUGAUCAACACGACGUCUAUAGGGUCCUCCCAUCCCUACUGGCUUCUAUUGGGCCCCUAUUGGCUCCUAUUGGGUCCUCCCAUCCCUAUUGGGGUCCUCCCAUCCCCUAUGGCUUCUAUUGGGUCCCUACCUGCUCCUAUUGGGCUGCAUGGAUCCUAUUGGGCCCCUACUGGGUUCUAUUGGGCUCCUAUUGGCUACUCCCAUCCCCUAUUGCUUUCUAUUGGCUCCUAUUGGUUCCUCCCAACCCUAUUGGCCUCUGUUGGGUCCUCCCAACCCUAUUGGCUCCUAUUGGGGUCCUCCCAUCCCUAUUGGCCUCUAUUGGGUCCCUACUGGCUUCUAUUGGGUUCCUAUUGUGUCCUCCCAUCCCCUAUUGGCUUCUAUUGGCUCCUAUUGGCUCCUCCCAACCCUAUUGGCCUCUAUUGGGUCCCUACUGGCUCCUAUUGGGCCCCUAUUGGCUUCUAUUGGCUCCUAUUGGCUCCUCCCAACCCUAUUGGCCUCUAUUGGGCCCCUAUUGGUUCCUAUUGGGCCCCUACUGGCUUCUAUUGGCUCCUAUUGGCUCCUCCCAUCCCUAUGGCUCCUAUUGGCACCUAUUGGUUCCUAUUGGGCCCCUAUUGGUUCCUAUUGGGCCCCUAUUGGCUUCUAUUGGCUCCUAUUGGGUCCUCCCAACCCUAUUGGCCUCUAUUGGGCUCCUAUUGGUUCCUAUUGGGUCCCUACUGGCUUCUAUUGGGCUCCUAUUGGCUCCUCCCAUCCCUAUGGCUCCUAUUGGGCCCCUAUUGGUUCCUAUUGGGCCCCUAUUGGUUCCUAUUGGGCCCCUCAGCUGUGAUCAUAGAAUUGUUGGAGGACCCAAGUGAGGCCUUGGAGGACCUCGAUGGUCAUAGAGUUGUUGGAUGACCCCGAUAACACCAUGGAGGACCUCAGCUGUGAUCAUAGAGUUGUUGGAGGACCAUAGAGAUGCCUUGGAGGACCAUAGAGAUGCCUUGGAGGACCUUGAUGGUGAUCAUAGAGUUGUUGGAGGACCAUAGAGAUGCCUUGGAGGUCCUCGUUGGUGACCAUAGAGUUAUUGGAGGACCCCGGUGACGCCUUGGAGGACCUCGAUGGUGAUCAUAGAGUGCUUGGAGGACCUUGUUGAGGCCUUGGAGGACCUCGAUUGUGAUCAUAGAGUGCUUGGAGGACCAUAGAGAUGCCAUGGAGGACCUCGAUGGCGAUCAUAGAGUUGUUGGAGGACCCCAGUGACACUUUGGAGGACCUCGAUGAUCAUAGAGUUGUUGGAGGACCCC
rnacentral:lncRNA from 1 species